CGAACGCCUACUGAAAUCACUUUGAAUACAUGGGGAUCCCCUUUCGGAUCUCCAUGGUGUUGCUGAGCUGUGGUUAGCAUUUGAGUAACUGCUGUCUGCUGAUUCCAGUAACACAGCUGGAAUCCAUGGGAGAGAUGGCCCAGGACUUGCUCAAGAAUGGGAGCACAGGGAACGGGCGAAAAAUAAGAACCAAGAUACAAAAUGUACAGGGUUUUUGAGCACCGGGGACCAGGCAGCGAAAGGUAACUAUGGACUCUUGGACCAGAUCCAAGCCUUGCGGUGGAUCGAGGAGAAUGUGGGAGCCUUUGGUGGUGACCCCAAAAGAGUGACCAUCUUCGGGUCAGGGGCCGGAGCCUCCUGCGUCAGCCUGCUGACAUUAUCGCACUAUUCGGAAGGUCUCUUCCAGAAGGCCAUCAUCCAGAGCGGUACGGCCCUGUCCAGCUGGGCAGUGAACUACCAGCCUGCCAAAUACACUCGGAUGUUGGCAGAUAAAGUGGGCUGCAACAUGCUAGACACCACGGACAUGGUGGAAUGCCUGCGGAACAAGAACUACAAAGAGCUCAUUCAGCAAACCAUCACCCCCGCCACCUACCACAUCGCCUUUGGGCCCGUGAUCGACGGGGACGUCAUCCCCGAUGACCCCCAGAUCCUCAUGGAGCAGGGCGAGUUUCUUAACUACGACAUCAUGCUGGGGGUCAACCAAGGAGAAGGGCUGAAGUUCGUGGACGGCAUGGUGGACAACGAGGACGGCGUGACCCCCAACGACUUCGACUUCUCCGUGUCCAACUUCGUGGACAACCUCUACGGCUACCCCGAGGGCAAAGACACCUUGAGGGAGACCAUCAAGUUCAUGUACACAGACUGGGCAGACAAGGAGAACCCAGAGACACGCCGGAAGACCCUGGUGGCCCUCUUCACCGACCAUCAGUGGGUGGCCCCCGCCGUGGCCACGGCCGACCUCCACGCCCAGUACGGCUCGCCCACCUAUUUCUACGCCUUCUACCACCACUGUCAGAGCGAAAUGAAGCCGAGUUGGGCAGACUCCGCCCACGGGGACGAGGUCCCCUACGUCUUUGGCAUCCCUAUGAUUGGUCCCACGGAGCUCUUCAGCUGUAACUUCUCCAAGAAUGACGUGAUGUUGAGCGCCGUGGUCAUGACCUACUGGACCAACUUUGCCAAGACUGGGGAUCCCAACCAGCCCGUUCCCCAAGACACCAAGUUCAUCCACACCAAACCCAACCGCUUCGAGGAGGUGGCCUGGUCUAAGUACAAUCCCAAGGACCAGUUGUACCUGCACAUCGGUCUGAAACCCAGAGUGCGUGAUCAUUACCGGGCCACCAAAGUGGCUUUCUGGCUCGAGCUGGUCCCCCACCUGCACAACCUGAACGAGAUAUUCCAGUACGUCUCCACCACCACGAAGGUGCCCCCGCCAGACAUGACAUCUUUUCCUUACGGCACUCGCCGUUCUCCGGCCAAGAUCUGGCCCACCACCAAGCGCCCGGCCAUCACCCCGGCCAACAACCCGAAGCAGGCCAAGGAGCCUCACAAGCCGGGGCCCGAGGACACCACUGUGCUCAUCGAAACCAAGAGGGAUUACUCCACCGAGCUGAGCGUCACCAUCGCCGUGGGGGCCUCCCUGCUGUUCCUCAACAUCUUGGCCUUCGCGGCCCUAUACUACAAGAAGGACAAGAGGCGGCACGAGACGCACAGACGGCCCAGCCCUCAGAGGAACACCACCAAUGACAUCGCCCACAUCCAGAACGAAGAGAUCAUGUCCCUGCAGAUGAAGCAGCUGGAGCACGACCAUGAGUGCGAGUCCCUGCAGGCCCACGACACCCUGCGGCUCGCCUGUCCCCCGGACUACACGCUCACGCUGCGCCGGUCUCCGGAUGACAUCCCGCUCAUGACCCCCAACACCAUCACCAUGAUCCCCAACACACUGACGGGCAUGCAGCCGUUGCACACGUUCAACACCUUCAGCGGGGGACAAAACAGUACAAAUUUACCGCACGGACACUCCACCACGAGGGUAUAGUUUUGCGGUACCCUUCAGGUCCCUGCAUCCUUCCCUCCACCUGCGCUGCCCCCUCCCGUCCGUCCGUCCUCCCUUCUGCAGACACGAGGAGGCGCAGAAAGACACAUCUGCACCUCCAUCAGGAGAGCUUUUCCUGCUCAGCACCUCACCGACAGAGGAUGACAACUCCAGCCACAGGGACGGUCGGUCAUCCGGACCCCCAGACCCUUGACCUAGACAUUUCUCUGACCUGGGGGUUCCACUUCGCACCCUACGAAAUGUGAAAAGCCGACAUUUCUCUGACAGCACUGCUUUAAGGUUUCUCACCCCUCCCCCAAGACCUCUCCCCUCGACAGAACAUCCCCGUCCAAGGAUUCAGAUCUUUCUGGCGUUAACGAUGAGCAGUUCACACUUCUGGAACCCAGCCAGGGACAUCUGAUUUUUUUUUUUAAUUUAACAAAAAUUACAAUUGAAAAAAAAUAAGUUCUUUACGUGGCAUACCAUGGGUGGCUCAAAACAAGCAAAGAGAGUGUCUAUGUGUUCUUUUUUUCACACAGCAUACAUCAAGAGUUGUAAUCCAGAGAGAAGGAAAAAAAAGUAGAAUUUUAUUAUUAAAAUAAAAGACUUGACUAUGCUGGAAAAAAAAAAUCCUAUCAGAUUCUGUGCAAAGAGGUGUUUUGCCAGCCUGAACGAUAUUUAAGAAAUCUUGUAAAAAUAAAAAAAAAGAAAUUGUAUAUAGUUGUGAGUUUAAACAACACACACACACACACACACACACACGGAGGGGGAACAAAAGAAAAAAAAAGCUUUCAUUGAUGUUUUCAGUUUGGAAGAGCUUUUAGCAAGGUUGUGAUUUUUCAUUGUGUUCUGAAUGUAUAUAAAUAUAAAUAUAUAUAUAUAUACAUUAGUCAAACCACCUCUGUUUCCUCCCCAGCAAAAACAAGCAAACCCACAAAAAACAACACUCUGGUUCUUCAUGCUUUGUGGUUAAAGAAAAAAAAGAAGGGAUUUUUCGAGUUCUUUUCAUUUGUGAGACGACGUGGCAUCAGAAGGGAAAAACCCAGGCUGCCCUCCCGUCUGUCCGUCCAUCCAGCUUGCCUGUGUCUCCUUUCCCAGGUGUGCAAAACGCACAAGACAGAAGCCUUCUUAGGGAGACUGUUGUGUUUAUUAUCCCCCUCCCCAAAACUUAUUUUCUGGUGUGGUCAGCCUUCCUGAGAUCACCAUGCAAAAUUGGUUCCCCUGAGUUGAGUGUUCAUUAACGCAUGUCAAAUUCAGGGACACAUGCGGGCAGCCAGCAAGGAGACAGAGAAAAACCCCAAACACAGCGUGAUACAAGUCUCAUUCUGUAAUCCUGGCCUUUUGCAUAUAUUUAGGAAGAGUUCCUUCCCAUCCUAGGAUGUUGCCAAAAGGGAAAGAAAGCUUGUCUUUAGAGGGCUUGUGCCUCUUGUGGUCAAUACGGCUUUGUGUCCUACUACAGCUGCAGAGGCUGAGGGUUUGGGGUUACCUGCUUAGCGUGAAUAAUCAGCUCAGAGGGAGGAGAUGUGCUUUUCAUGGAAGCAGUGCAACCCUUCUGUAUAAGCCAGCCCACCCCUAACCUCCCUAUCAUUUAUGGGAUAAAACAUAUGCUUGUGUGAAAAUAAUCGUUUUUUGCCGAUUUGGGUAGCAAUCACCAUGGAUGAACAACCUGGAAAAAAAGGAAAAAAAAUUUCCCCAAACAAGACACGGUAUCAGGAGUUCUUUGCACUGGUUCCCUGGAUAAUUCAGAGAGCUACACUGUCAAGGAAAUCAAUAGAAAUUAUUCACCCGCUUUGAAUUAGCAAUCCUCAGAUUUCUACCGUGUAAUGACUCAUUGUUUUUUAUUUCUAUUAUCAUUUUUCCUCUAAGGGGUGUGUUGGGGGUUAUAAGGUGGAACAAAACAGGAGAGUCAGUUUUCUUUUUGUCCUUUGAAUAUGACUGCAUUACCAAGUAACAGUAGCCAAAGAUGUUCGAACAUAGCGUCAGAACUAGUUUGCAUUUUAAGUGUUGUAGAAAUCCAGACUUAGAUGCUGUGGUCCAGGUAGGUAUUCUGCAUAAAUGUGGUACAGCUGCUUCCAUUUCCCCAAGAUAACAGCUUUUCAAUACUGAAAUUUCCUGCCCUAAAAAGGUAGCGGUAGCUAAAAGUGUGUGACCUCUAGCCCCACCCCCGCAAAAAAAAAAAAAAAAAAUUAAAAAGACUUCUUAGAAAUGCAAAAAAAAAAAAAAUCACUCAAUCAAUCCUGUUGCCUAUGUGGGUUUCAUCUCAAGAGUUCUUCUCUGUAUAUAUAAACAUGUGACAUGUAACGCCCCCGACUUAGGACGCGUGAAGAAUCAAGAGUCCUUCCUUGACGACGCGAUGUCACGGAUCUAAAGUGUUGUCUCCAAUUCAUCAUUUUCUUCUAAAGCGAUUUUCCAAGCCAUUUCCUGCAAGCUAUGUUUCGUCCUCGGAAGCUGAGAACAGACAGGAGACACACGAAGGGACUGGAUAAUUGUCCCAUCGCCGCUGGUUCUGUAUAUUUGUAACGUGAAUUCCAGUGUGGGUUUCGUCUUCUGCUAGCAAUAUGUACCCUCAUGCGUCCGUCAGCCUCGUGACAUUUCAAUGAGGACACGGAGUUCAUGUUUAGUGAAUAAUUUUAGCUUUUACAGAGGAUUAUGAUCAAAAGCAAUUUAAUACAUCGUAAAGGAUAUCUUAUUUCUACAAGGAAAGAGGUUAUAGAAUCUUCAUAGAGUUCUAUGAGAAAAAAAUACACUUGCUAUCUAUAAAAAAGAGAAAAAAGAAAAAAAGGAGAAAAAAGAAAAAAAAGUACUUUCUUAGGCUUUUAUUCUAGAUCUUAAAAGGCACGCAGGGUUUAAUGGUUUGUUGGGUUAUUAUUUAGCAAUUUUGUUUUUUGAUUUUGCCUUAAGUAAUGAUAGAAGAUAUAUAUGGCUGGACACAUAUGUAUAAACUUUUCAGCAGCAUUUUUAAUAAUAAAAUAUCACAGUAUUUUCUAAUGCUUUGUGCAAAUAAUUAUGUCUCCAUUCUUUCUUUGUAGGAGAUGGAUCUUGUUUGGUGAUUGAUUGAUUGAUUGAUUGAUUG
rnacentral:lncRNA from 1 species